rnacentral:piRNA from 1 species
UAAUCUCAUAUUAUAUUGAGGACCUAUAC